rnacentral:rRNA from 1 species
ACGGCUACCUUGUUACGACUUCACCCUAAUUACCAGUCCUACCUUCGGCCGCGCCCUCCUUGCGGUUAGGCUACGGACUUCGGGUAUUACCGGCUCUCAUGGUGUGACGGGCGGUGUGUACAAGGCCCGGGAACGUAUUCACCGCGGCAUGCUGAUCCGCGAUUACUAGCAAUUCCGACUUCAUGCAGGCGGGUUGCAGCCUGCAAUCUGAACUGAGACAGCUUUUAGGGGUUUGCUCCGCAUCGCUGCUUUGCUUCCCUCUGUAUGACUGCCAUUGUAGUACGUGUGUAGCCCAGGUCAUAAGGGGCAUGAUGAUUUGACGUCGUCCCCACCUUCCUCCGUUUUGUCAACGGCAGUCCGGCUAGAGUGAUCAACCUAAUGUAUCAACUAACCGUAAGGGUUGCGCUCGUUGCGGGACUUAACCCAACAUCUCACGACACGAGCUGACGACAACCAUGCACCACCUGUCUCCAAUGCCCCGAAAGGAAACCCUGU